rnacentral:rRNA from 1 species
AGAGUUUGAUCAUGGCUCAGGAUGAACGCUAGCUACAGGCUUAACACAUGCAAGUCGAGGGGAAACGGACAUCGAAAGCUUGCUUUUGAUGGGCGUCGACCGGCGCACGGGUGAGUAACGCGUAUCCAACCUGCCCACCACUUGGGGAUAACCUUGCGAAAGUAAGACUAAUACCCAAUGAUAUCUCUAGAAGACAUCUGAAAGAGAUUAAAGAUUUAUCGGUGAUGGAUGGGGAUGCGUCUGAUUAGCUUGUUGGCGGGGUAACGGCCCACCAAGGCUACGAUCAGUAGGGGUUCUGGAGAGGAAGGUCCCCCACACUUGGAACUGAGACACGGUCCAAACUCCUACGGGAGGCA